rnacentral:rRNA from 1 species
GGAUUCAACGCCGGAAAUCUUACCGGGACCGACAGCAAUAUGAAGGCCAGGCUGAAGACUUUGCCGGAUUAGCUGAGAGGUGGUGCAUGGCCGUCGUCAGUUCGUACUGUGAAGCAUCCUGUUAAGUCAGGCAACGAGCGAGACCCACGUCCACAGUUGCCAGCAUACCCUCCGGGGUGAUGGGUACACGUGUGGAGACCGCCCGCUGCUAAAGCGGAGGAAGGAAUGGGCAACGGUAGGUCAGUAUGCCCCGAACUCUCCCGGGCUACACGCGGGCUACAAUGGUUGGUACAAUGGGCAGUCUACCCCGAAACGGGGAAGGGAAAUCUCUUAAAGACCAAUCGUAGUUCGGAUUGAGGGCUGCAACUCGCCCUCAUGAAGCUGGAAUCCGUAGUAAUCGCGUUUCAACAGAACGCGGUGAAUACGUCCCUGCUCCUU